rnacentral:rRNA from 1 species
UACAGGGGGUGCAAUCGUUGCUCGGAAUUAUUGGGCGUAAAGCGCGCGUAGGCGGCCACUUAAGUCGGAUGUGAAAGCCCCUGGCUCAACUGGGGAAGUGCACCCGAAACUGAAUGGCUUGAAUGCAAGAGAGGGUCGCGGAAUUCCCGGUGUAGAGGUGAAAUUCGUAGAUAUCUGGAGGAACACCGGUGGCGAAGGCGGCAGCCUGGACCGAGAUUGACGCUGAGGCGCGAAAGCCAGGGGAGCAAACGGG